GACGGAGGGGGCAAGCGUUGUCCGGAAUCACUGGGCGUAAAGCGCGUGUAGGCGGUCUCGUACGUCGGUGCUGAAAGCGCACGGCUUAACCGGGAGAGACCUGCAGAUACGAUGCGACUGGAGGCAGGCAGAGGGCGGCGGAAUUCCGGGUGUAGCGGUGAAAUGCGUAGAGCUCCGGAGGAACGCCGGUGGGGGAGCCGGCCGCCUGGGCCUGACCUGACGCUGAGACGCGACAGCGUGGGGAGCAAACCGG
rnacentral:rRNA from 1 species